UACGUAGGGUGCGAGCGUUGUCCGGAAUUAUUGGGCGUAAAGAGCUCGUAGGCGGUCUGUCGCGUCGAAUGUGAAAACCCGGGGCUCAACUCCGGGCUUGCAUUCGAUACGGGCAGGCUAGAGUUCGGUAGGGGAGUCUGGAAUUCCUGGUGUAGCGGUGAAAUGCGCAGAUAUCAGGAGGAACACCGGCGGCGAAGGCGGGACUCUGGGCCGAUACUGACGCUGAGGAGCGAAAGCGUGGGGAGCGAACAGG
rnacentral:rRNA from 1 species